rnacentral:lncRNA from 1 species
UUGAAAAAGUGCCUGAUUCAUUUAUGUGAGAAAGACACUUGGAAACUUGUAGGCGAGAUUCUGACUGUGGGAUUCUGUGCUCUGUGUGAUAUGAGUGUUCCUUUCCCUGUGCAACAAGGGCCCUGAGCAUCUGGCUGCAUUCCCUGCUCUUUGUGACAGCCUUCUCGUCUUUUCUAAGCCUUGCUCUGUUACAGCUUUUUCUUUUUUUCUUUUCUCUUUUUUAAAAACUGGGAACUAAAGUCCUGAGUUUUGGUGCCAGCUCUGAUACUAACCAAUAGAACCAUUUGGAAUAUUAGUCUCAGAGUCUGAAUAGGGAGUGUGAGCACAUAAUAAUUUUAAAUGUUGAUAUUGGGAAAGCGGUCAGUUACCUGAUAAUUGAUUAUCCUCCUGAACCCAAAAAAACAUUUAUUGAGUGAUUCAUUUACCGAUGAAUAUUCCUCCUGAAAUAAAUUUAUUGAAACAUAUAUUCACUCACUAUCCAUUUUUUUUAUUUUUUCACUAUCCAUUUUAAUCUACCAACUAGUGUGAUGCAUCAAUUUGCUUAAUAUCAAAUUAUUAACUUCUUGAAAUGUGUUUAUAUUGCAUCUGUCUAAAGUUUAUUACAAAUCAGUCUGGAUAGAAUGGCUUUAGACACUGGAAUUUUUAGUGGCAAGUAUUGUUUGUUUGGUUUUAAUAUUUCUUUAUAAUAGCCGUUUGACCCCAGAUAUUUUGUAAUAGAAUUAUUUAUCAGUUCAGUUCUAUUGAAUCCUAAAUUUCUUAUGUGUAUUUGAUAAGUGAAUGUAGUUACUUUAAUGCUUUUUAGUAUGUUAAAACAGAAGAUAUGUCCUACUGAACUAUGUGAGAAAAAUAAUAAUUUAGGUUCAUAAAGGAUUAAGCUGAUGGAAGACAUUUUCAAAUGAAACAGUUCACGUUGUGACUUACAAACUCAAAAGGAUUCUAGAAAUUUGUAUAUAAUUUGAUUUAAAACAAACAUUCUCAUUCCCCAAAGUUACUGUACCAAAGAAUAAUGCAAUUUUCAGAUACAAUCUGCAUAGACAUAGGCCAAGAUUGCAGUAAAUCUCAUGGGAAAUUGAAACAUUGGACUUAUCAGUCCUAAAACAUCAAAUAACUCUUCCAAAGCUUGAUAAACCUAAUUAUUUAGUAUAGUUAACUGUCAAUAUAACACAAGUUUUAAAGAAACAAGUUUUAGGUGAACUGGGGAAUUUGUUACUUGACAAGAUGGAUUUAUUUUUAGCAUUGUAAACCUAGGCUUUUUGUUUCUUUAUUAUCCUUCUUGCCCGGGUUGGAGGAGGCAGGGCAUGUGGCACAGUAUGAGGCUGGGAGGGAGACUGUCCAUGUUUUAGGUAUAAGUCCCCAUCCCCCAGCCACACCCUAUAACUGCAGUUCGAACCAGGUUGAAAUUCUAUGUGUAUAUAUAUAUUUUAUGUUGACCGAUGUAUGACCAAGGGUUGUUUGAGAAACUAGCAAAGUUAAAGAGACCUGUAUGAGAACCAGAAAGUUUAUUUUUACACUCACUGUGUCUUCCCACUAUAGCGAAUUUUGUCUCUAUGAGCAUAGAGAUGUCUAUGUCUCUGAAUGAAUAUAUCAAGUUGUGCAGCAAGUUCUUGGCAUAUGCCAAGAAGAAAAUGGCCUUGUGCCCAAGCAGGGGCAGAGAUAAAAUUAAAUUAGAGAACCUAAUUGUGGCACUGUAAUGCAGUAAAUUAUUCUAAACACUGGUGUUUGUUUUUGUUUUUGUUUUUAUUUUUACUGCAUUCUUACUAAAGGCCCCACACCCACUUUCAAUUAUUACCUUUCAUUAAAGGCACUGCCAUUAGGCUGUAGACUUAAGUGUAUUUUCUGGAACUUUCUUGGAAGAGGCAGGUUGUGUUUGAAUAAAAAGGGAGCCACAAACUCUGGUGCCUAUGCAGAAGACUACUAACUGAGACUCACCAGAAAGCUUCAAGCCACUCCUCUUCCUUUAGAAGAAUUGAAGUGGGAUUUUGAGAUUUCAAAAAGAAAUAUAUUUCCCAAGUCCUGAUUCAAAUUCCAAGCUUAAUUGUAUUAAUGUCCAAGCAGAAGAUUAUAGUGGCCACAGAAUUAAAUGUGUGUGUGUGUGUGUGUGUGUGUGUGUGUGUGUGUGUGUGUGUCUGUCUGUCUGUGUUGGAGGGGAAACAGUGCUAGGGGUCAAAGAUAUGACCUUGUGCUGCUAGACAAGUGCCUUUCCACUGACCUCCUUUCUCUAGCCCCAGACUCAAUGAUUUAUAAUAAUCUUAGCUGGGAUAUACAGAAAAGAACAGCUUGUUAAAAGAGUACCUUGUUAGGUACUGUGAGCUGCUGAACUAGAAAUGGAGGCUUCUUAAGAGGAUAAUAUAUCAUGGGAGAUUAUUAACUAGGUUAAAAACUCACAGCAUAUCCAAUUAUUGUAAUGUAGGACUACAUAAGAGUUAAUCUGUCAAACACUUACAGUGUCAUAUGCUAAGCCGAGUACUGUGUAUAGCUGAGAGAUAAAAAGGAAAACAAGACAAAACCUCUCUUGGACCUUAGGGAUCAUAUAUUGCACAACAUCCUCACCUUCUUUUCUACUUACACAACUUUGCUGCUGAUAGGAUUAUUUAAAUACCAUGUGGUUUUUUUUUUGUCCAGAGAAAAAUGGAAUAAUAAUUGUAUGUUCUUCACAGGAUUUCCAAAAAGAUGAAAUGAUAUACUUAAAUUCUUUUUCUAACUAUCAAUUCUUUUAUUUUCAGAUUAUAAAUACUUAAAUUCUUUAGGUAAAAUGUUAACUGAUUAGGAAGUGGAGGCUUUCUGGAAUACCUUUUUUCUGUAGAAAGUUUCAGUACUUACUAAGAAACAUUAGGAGAGUAUCAGUUGAGUAUUGGCAAAUAAAUUUCAGAUGAUUAAUUAGGCAUGAAGUCCAACAAUCACUAAUAGGCUAAUUGCUUAUCCUUAACAUUUCCUCUAUGAGAAUUAAAGCUCUGUUAGUGUCUGUCUAGCAAAGGAAGUGUAACAGGGCCCCCACCUGUUCUGAGAUGACAUGGUUAGAACACUGGUUCUGAAACUGCCAUUCAGUGAGCCAUUUGCACUUUUUAAAGAAGUAAAUGAUGCAUCUGAAUGCUAAGAGCAGUAGCAAAAGAUUUGAUUUGUUCAUUUAAAUUUAGUUAAUCCUUAUUUCUUUAUUUUAAAAAGUAGGCACAAAGCAUUUUGAAACUUAAAAGGGAGUUAUUAUAAUAAUACAACAAUUGAAAUUGAAAUCACAUUAAAAAUAAAGAAAAUACAUUCUUAAUGAAUCCCACUGUUGCAGUGGUAGAGCAGACAAUUAUACUUUUACAGAAUUUUAAGUAUUAAAUACUUAAUGAAAGCAUAGUACUGUUUCAAUAGGAUCUUAAACUCAUCCUCUUUGAGGAUUUAUAUUUGUUUUCAAUGCCUUGAAUAUCCUUGUGUAUUAGGUACCGUGGCAUAUUUGUGGGUGAUGAGGUAAUCACAGUCCAUGUGCUCAUGAAGUUUGUUCUUUGCAUGUCAAGAUGAAUAAUUACACUACGGUUCAAAACAACAACUGAUGCACAUAGAAUAAUGGUAGAUUGCUACAGACUCACUGGAGAGGACACCAGGCCUAAGCUUGUUAAGAGGAAGGGGAAAGAGUGAUAAGUGGGAAGCUUAAGGGACACAGGAUUUAUUCUAGACCUAAAGUUGAAGAUGAAAGAAGCAAGGAGGAAAACAUUGUUUGAAGCAGAAGAUCUCUGUUGCGGUACACGAGGGCUCCAUCUCCCUAGAUUGUAUAAUCUUGGGAUAUGUAAACUGAAGCUGGAUUCUAAAGAGCCCCUGAAGUCUCAACAGGAAGUUUACAGUUUAUCCUGAGUACCUAGGACCUCGAACUCCAAGGAUCUGUGUGGUAGGAUGGAGAUCCAAGAAUAAAUGUUGAAGGCUAAUUAAGAAGCUAAAUCAUUGGAGUAGGUAGUUGAUUAAACUCAGGAGAUAUAAGAAAAGAAGUCUGUUUCUUAUUAGUAGAUUUCUUUGAGAAAUAGAAAUAUAAAAGUAACUAGAUGCAGAGGUAGUUCCUCUGGUCUGAAGGAAUAAGUCAAUCUUGAACUCACUGAGAACAGAUUGGAGCUAACACAUCCACAUUUUUGUCAGAAAUAUAAUUAGCAUGAUGAAAAUUAAGCUUGGGUUUGAUGAUUAAAUUUUACAAUUCAGACUUACAUGCUAUGAAAAACAAUUCAACAAGUAGUUUAAAAUAGUGAACAAUUCAUAGAAUUAUUGAAUAUGCUUACUUAUUGGGAAGUUAACUGCAUACAGUUGACAUAAAUGCUAGGUCCAUCAAAACAGCAUUAGGAAAGUAGACCAUAGAUCCCAAACCCAAGUUGUGUGUGUGUGUGUGUGUGUGUGUGUGUGUGUGUGUGUGUGUGUGUGUGUGUGUUCAAAGGGGAAGAAACUUUUGAGAGAAAUGAAUGCACCGGCAGAUUGGGAUAAAAGCAGAAAUAUAGAAUCCUGUGAAGGAGCUUUUCCAGAAAUAAGAGGUUGUUAUUAAUUCAGGCAGAAACUAAGAAAGGUGGUAGAAUAAGAUAUUUCUGUUAAUAUCUUUGGAACAAGGAUUCUCUGAGAGUGAUGACUAGAAAGAGAUACCCAGGUGUCCUGUAGAGUCUACAAAGUAGAUGAUGACAUUAGGGUAUUCUUGUAAACAAAUGUGGUUAGGAAAAGAAUUAUUGUAUUAAGAAUACUUAACUAUUAAUAUAUUUGUAGAAUAUGAAGAAUUCUGUCCAUUCUAUACCAACAAAAACCUAGAAAGUUUAG